UUGGCGGCGUGCCUACAUCUGCAGUCGUACGCGCAUGAAGUAGAGGUGCUUGCACCUUUCAAGCGAGUGGCGAACGGGUGAGUAACACGUGGAUAACCUGCCUCAAGGCUGGGGAUAACAUUUGGAAACAGAUGCUAAUACCGAAUAAAACUUAGUAUCGCAUGAUAUCAAGUUAAAAGGCGCUACGGCGUCACCUAGAGAUGGAUCCGCGGUGCAUUAGUUAGUUGGUGGGGUAAAGGCUUACCAAGACGAUGAUGCAUAGCCGAGUUGAGAGACUGAUCGGCCACAUUGGGACUGAGACACGGCCCAAACUCCUACGGGAGGCUGCAGUAGGGAAUCUUCCACAAUGGGCGCAAGCCUGAUGGAGCAACGCCGCGUGUGUGAUGAAGGCUUUCGGGUCGUAAAGCACUGUUGUAUGGGAAGAAAUGCUAAAAUAGGGAAUGAUUUUAGUUUGACGGUACCAUACCAGAAAGGGACGGCUAAAUACGUGCCAGCAGCCGCGGUAAUACGUAUGUCCCGAGCGUUAUCCGGAUUUAUUGGGCGUAAAGCGAGCGCAGACGGUUGAUUAAGUCUGAUGUGAAAGCCCGGAGCUCAACUCCGGAAUGGCAUUGGAAACUGGUUAACUUGAGUGUUGUAGAGGUAAGUGGAACUCCAUGUGUAGCGGUGGAAUGCGUAGAUAUAUGGAAGAACACCAGUGGCGAAGGCGGCUUACUGGACAACAACUGACGUUGAGGCUCGAAAGUGUGGGUAGCAAACAGGAUUAGAUACCCUGGUAGUCCACACCGUAAACGAUGAAUACUAGGUGUUAGGAGGUUUCCGCCUCUUAGUGCCGAAGCUAACGCAUUAAGUAUUCCGCCUGGGGAGUACGACCGCAAGGUUGAAACUCAAAGGAAUUGACGGGGACCCGCACAAGCGGUGGAGCAUGUGGUUUAAUUCGAAGCAACGCGAAGAACCUUACCAGGUCUUGACAUCCUUUGAAGCUUUUAGAGAUAGAAGUGUUCUCUUCGGAGACAAAGUGACAGGUGGUGCAUGGUCGUCGUCAGCUCGUGUCGUGAGAUGUUGGGUUAAGUCCCGCAACGAGCGCAACCCUUAUUGUUAGUUGCCAGCAUUCAGUUGGGCACUCUAGCGAGACUGCCGGUGACAAACCGGAGGAAGGCGGGGACGACGUCAGAUCAUCAUGCCCCUUAUGACCUGGGCUACACACGUGCUACAAUGGCGUAUACAACGAGUUGCCAACCUGCGAAGGUGAGCUAAUCUCUUAAAGUACGUCUCAGUUCGGACUGCAGUCUGCAACUCGACUGCACGAAGUCGGAAUCGCUAGUAAUCGCGGAUCAGCACGCCGCGGUGAAUACGUUCCCGGGUCUUGUACACACCGCCCGUCACACCAUGGGAGUUUGUAAUGCCCAAAGCCGGUGGACUAACUCUCUGGCUCAGACGAACGCGACGCAGACU
rnacentral:rRNA from 1 species